GACCGAAAUUUGUUUCCCCGCUUCCUACUCCGCUUUUGCCGGCUUUGCGAGGUUUUUUUCUUGAGAUUUUCUUAUAAUCGUGAGUCUCGGUAACAACUGCUUUACCCUUCACCAGUGUACCGACUCGACAGUGUAUCCAGAGCCAGAGCGUGAGACAAAUCUCGAGCAUGCGCAGUGGUAUGAACAUUGGACGUUCUCAAUCCUCAAUCCCGUAUAUACUUUAUCGCAAAAAGGUAUUAUUAUUAUUAUUAUUAUUUUUCGUUAUGUCCAGAAAA